GGGGUUGUGGCUCAGUGACAGAGUGCUCCCCUCGCAUGUGGGAGACCCUGGGUUCGAUCCUCAGCACCACA
rnacentral:tRNA from 1 species